rnacentral:rRNA from 1 species
AGAGUUUGAUCAUGGCUCAGGAUGAACGCUGGCGGUCUGCUUAACACAUGCAAGUCGAACGAAGUGCUUCGGCACUUAGUGGCGGACGGGUGAGUAACGCGUGAGAAUCUGCCUUGAGGACUGGGACAACAGCUGGGAACGGCUGCUAAUACCAGAUAUGCAAGUAAGUGAAACGGGGCAACCCGCCUUGAGAUGAGCUCGCGUCUGAUUAGCUAGUUGGUGGGGUAAGAGCCCACCAAGGCUGCGAUCAGUAACUGGUCUGAGAGGAUGACCAGUCACACUGGGACUGAGACACGGCCCAGACUCCUACGGGAGGCAGCAGUGGGGAAUUUUCCGCAAUGGGCGAAAGCCUGACGGAGCAAGACCGCGUGAGGGAGGAAGGCUCUUGGGUUGUAAACCUCUUUUCUUGGGGAAGAAAAAAAUGACGGUACCCAAGGAAUCAGCAUCGGCUAACUCCGUGCCAGCAGCCGCGGUAAUACGGAGGAUGCAAGCGUUAUCCGGAAUGAUUGGGCGUAAAGCGUCCGCAGGUGGCAAUGUAAGUCUGCUGUCAAAGCGUCUGGCUCAACCAGAUAAAGGCAGUGGAAACUACAUAGCUAGAGUAAGGUAGGGGUAGAGGGAAUUCCUGGUGUAGCGGUGAAAUGCGUAGAGAUCAGGAAGAACACCGGUGGCGAAAGCGCUCUGCUGGACCUUAACUGACACUGAGGGACGAAAGCUAGGGGAGCGAAUGGGAUUAGAUACCCCCGUAGUCC